GUGAAACCGCGAAUGGCUCAUUAAAUCACACCUAAUCUACUGGAUAGUAGUCAGUUACUUGGAUACCUGAGGUAAUUCUUCAGCUAAUACAUGCACACAAGCCUCGAACUUACGUGAGAGGCGCUUUGAUUAGAUCAAAACCAGUCGGCUUAGGCCGUCCCUUUGGUGACUCUGAAUAACUUUGGGCUGAUCGCAUGGCCUCGCGCCGGCGACAUAUCCUUCGAAGGUGUGCCCUAUCAACUGUCGACUGUGGCAUAGACGCCCACAGUGGUUUUGACGGGUAACGGGGAAUCAGGGUUCGAUUCCGGAGAGGGAGCCUUAAAAACGGCUACCACAUCCAAGGAAGGCAGCAGGCACGCAAAUUACCCAAUGACCGAAGGUCGAGGUAGUGACGAAAAAUAACGAUACGGGACUCAUCCGAGGCCCCGUAAUCGGAAUGAGUACACUUUAAAAAAUUUUUAACGAGGAUCUAUUGGAGGGCAAGUCUGGUGCCAGCAGCCGCGGUAAUUCCAGCUCCAAUAGCGUAUAUUAAAGUUGUUGCGGUUAAAAAGCUCGUAGUUGGAUCUCGGCGGGUAGAGGGCGGUAUGCUUGCUAGUAUCACUGCCCUAUUACCCGUAGUUUUGCUAGAGGUUUCGGGGUGCUCUUCGCCGAGUGUCCUGGGAUGCUAGCAGGUUUACUUUGAAAAAAUUAGAGUGCUCAAAGCAGGCUCCUACGCUUGAAUAUUCGUGCAUGGAAUAAUAGAAUAGGAAGUCGUUUCUAUUUUGUUGGUUUUCGGAAAUCGACUUAAUGAUUAAUAGGGACAGUCGGGGGCAUUUGUAUUCAAACGACAGAGGUGAAAUUCUUGGACCGUUUGAAGACAAACUACUGCGAAAGCAUUUGCCAAGAAUGUUUUCAUUAAUCAAGAACGAAAG
rnacentral:rRNA from 1 species